CAAGUAUGAUCUUUUCUCUGCAAUGUGAGUAGGGAAGGCCUGCAACGUGCUUAGUCCCUUCAAUAUAUCAUAUUUGCAAUAGCUGCACAAAGUCAAUCAAGAGCUUGAAUCUCACACUGCAAAUCCCAUCACCAAAAUUUUUCUUUUGACUAGGAAAUUACAUUUGAAAGUUUCUUAUCCUCUAAUCAUGACUAUAUUAAAUUCCAAUUCAACACAUCAUCUUUUAGCUACUAAUUAGAAUCCACCACAGAAAAAGAGGAAGUAACAAAACUUCCAACAAAUUAAUGUAAAAUUCCUCUAUUUCAAUAAC
rnacentral:lncRNA from 1 species